CAUUUAUUUGCGUUCGUGGCGGGAAACUCCGAGUGCCGAGUGUCAUAUGAACUUUCACCUUCUGGUUUCAUUCCGUAGUUUUCAUCUUGAUUUAACAGUUAAUCAGACGGUUUGAGUUACAAAGUUUCAACAUUCAUACUGUUUUUCUCUCCAGUCAGGUGUGCAGUCCGGCUCUUCUCGCCAAGAAGUGACAUGUACGAAGGCUAUAAAGCUGGAGGAGACGGACAGGGCUGGAGGAGCAGGACUGAUGGAGGUGAGUGAUCCAGAAGAAAGCGAGAUAAAGUUGUUUAAGCUUCCAGUACAGCUUAAUACUGAAUUUGUUGGAAUGUUCUUCCCUUAAUAUAUCCUCAUUCAUGAAAAUCAUUGAAAAAAGUGUAAAAUGUCACUAUGACUAUUCAAUUCUGUCAACUCGUUUACUAAAGAAAUAAAUAAAACACUAUUUCCGAUUGCAGCAUCUGAGACUGUACCUGUAGUCUAUAGUCUGUGUACACUGUAAAAAGUGGGACUGGGGUUAAUUAAUAGUUACUAAAUAACUAAUAGUAACCUCUGCAUAAUAAAAAGACUAUGUUCAGUUAGAAAUCAAACUGAGUUGCAUCCAGUAAAUUUGAAUGAUUUAUUAAUUGCAUUUUACGCAGUUUUGGUUGAAUGAAAUUAGCUGUGAACUUACUUAUGUUUGAUCACGAACAACAAUGAUGCAGAAAAUUGAUAGAUUUUUCUCAUUGGGAGGUCUUUGGUUUUAAUCACCUCACACUUUCGCCCAAAGCAUUUUGCUUUUAAAAUAAACUUUAAUCAGAAAUCGUGAUGAAUUGAAACAAUGCUGUUGGUUAUUUUCUAUUUUAUUUAUUUACAAAAGUCAUUACACUUCAAGAUUAUGGUAAAAUAGGAAUUUUGUCAUACACACACACACACACACAGAAAUGAAUUGUGGACUUUGGACAUUAGCAAGAUAAACUAGCAAAGUGAAAAAGAUAAGCAUGAACUACAAAGGCAACAUUGAUUUCAGGUUGACUUUAAACAUAGUUUAAGUCUCAUAAAUAAAAGUAGUACAGAGAGUUAUUGCAGUUAUAUAAUUUCGGUGAAUACUUUCUCUUAAGGAGUCCUGUGUGGCUGCAGACAGAGAGUCUCCUUCACAGAAAGUAUUUAUCAAAAUGACAUAUUUUCUAUGGUAGCUUAGGGUGCUUAUACUUCUAAAACUUACGUAAUUUAAAAGCAACUCAAGUACAAAUGUUUACUGAAUACCUUUACACAGGUAAUAUUUAACCAAGAGCAUUUCUGUUUUCACUCGAGUUACUAACACCUGUUUUACACAACAACUAAGAAGUUGUGCACUUUGUCCACCCUGCUCCUCGCUGACCACCUACUCCAGAAGAAACCAGAAAAAAUAUCUCUAAGCCAUCCAUCCAUCUGCUGCUUCUGGUUUUCGACUGAUCAGGAAUUGUCCCAGGUACUGUAAUUUAUAGUAUCUUUAUUGUAUUGCUCUUUGUAAUAUUAGUACAUAUUAUGCUAAAUAUUUUAUUACAUCUUUUAGCACAAGACUUUGCCAAUAUUAUGUCUUUUAACAUGAAUUUGACUCACCUGCUCUGCUUUUUGCUUUACUUUGCAAAACUGUUGUAUGAAAACAACAGGACUUUGAAGGUUGUGUGCUAUUGUGAAAGACAUGGUACAAUUAUAUUCACACUAACCUGCUCUUUCUUGCAUUGCUUUGCAUAUACCUUUGUUUUUCUUGUUGUUACUUUGUAGAUUUAUUUUGAUACUGUUUACUGUCUGUUCAGGAUCUUUAUCCUUGUUUUGUAUGGUUAGUGUUUGUUACUAAUUUUGCUCACCUAUUUCUUCAUUUUACACCAGAGACCUUCACAUCUGUUAAGAGCUGAGUAUAUUUAGCAGGUAGGAUUCAGAUGUUCAUUCACUUGCUGUCUCUCUCUCUCCCAAACAUACCCUAGGUAUAUAAUCACUGGCUAUUUUUACAGUACUUCUGACUUAUAGACAGGAGUCCAUUUGUUUCUUUGUACACAUUGCCCCCCCCCCUUUUUUUCCUUUUUACCACAGGCAGGGCCACCACAGAGGAUUCAUGAAACAUUCUCAGCACUGUAGCAACACUGAUAUGGUGCUGGUGUGUUAAUGUGUGUUGCGCUGGUAUGAGUGGAUCAGACACAGCAGUGCUGCUGGAGUUUUUAAACCCUGUGUCCACUCACUGUCCACUCUAUUAGACACUCCUACCUUGUCAGUCCACCUUGUAGAAGUCAGAGACGAUAGCUCAUCUGCUGCUGCACAGUUUGUGUUGGUCAUCCUCUAGUCCUUCAUCAGUGGGCUAUUCUCGGUCCAGCAGUGACAUUGAGGUGAUUAAAACAUUGCUGUAUCUGAUACAGUACCACACUUACUAUGUCAGUGUCACUGCAGUGCUGAGAAUGAACCAAUAAUACCUGUUUUGUGGUGGUCUGGGUGGGUCCUGAUCGUUGAUGAAUGAUGUGAAAGGGGGCUAAAAAGGUAUGCAGAGAAAAA